rnacentral:rRNA from 1 species
UACGUAGGGGGCAAGCGUUGUCCGGAAUCAUUGGGCGUAAAGAGCUCGUAGGCGGUUUGUCGCGUCUGCCGUGAAAGUCCGGGGCUCAACUCCGGAUCUGCGGUGGGUACGGGCAGACUAGAGUGAUGUAGGGGAGAUCGGAAUUCCUGGUGUAGCGGUGAAAUGCGCAGAUAUCAGGAGGAACACCGGUGGCGAAGGCGGAUCUCUGGGCCAUUACUGACGCUGAGGAGCGAAAGCGUGGGGAGCGAACAGG